rnacentral:rRNA from 1 species
GAGUUUGAUCUUGGCUCAGAUUGAGCGCUGGCGGCAUGCCUUACACAUGCAAGUCGAACGGCAGCACGGGAGCUUGCUCCUGGUGGCGAGUGGCGAACGGGUGAGUAAUGCAUCGGAACGUAUCCUGGAGUGGGGGAUAACGUAGCGAAAGUUACGCUAAUACCGCAUAUUCUGUGAGCAGGAAAGCGGGGGACCUUCGGGCCUCGCGCUCUUGGAGCGGCCGAUGUCGGAUUAGCUAGUUGGUGAGGUAAGGGCUCACCAAGGCGACGAUCCGUAGCAGGUCUGAGAGGAUGAUCUGCCACACUGGAACUGAGACACGGUCCAGACUCCUACGGGAGGCAGCAGUGGGGAAUUUUGGACAAUGGGGGCAACCCUGAUCCAGCCAUGCCGCGUGAGUGAAGAAGGCCUCGGUGUAAG